CUUGCUUUUAAAAGGUUAGCGGCGGACGGGUGAGUAACACGUGGGCAACCUGCCUGUAAGACUGGGAUAACGCCGGGAAACCGGGGCUAAUACCAGAUAGUUUUUUCCUCCGCAUGGAGGAAAAAGGAAAGGCGGCUUCGGCUGCCACUUACAGAUGGGCCCGCGGCGCAUUAGCUAGUUGGCGGGGUAACGGCCCACCAAGGCAACGAUGCGUAGCCGACCUGAGAGGGUGAUCGGCCACAUUGGGACUGAGACACGGCCCAAACUCCUACGGGAGGCAGCAGUAGGGAAUCUUCCGCAAUGGACGAAAGUCUGACGGAGCAACGCCGCGUGAGUGAAGAAGGCCUUCGGGUCGUAAAACUCUGUUGCCGGGGAAGAACAAGUGCCGUUCGAACAGGGCGGCGCCUUGACGGUACCCGGCCAGAAAGCCACGGCUAACUACGUGCCAGCAGCCGCGGUAAUACGUAGGUGGCAAGCGUUGUCCGGAAUUAUUGGGCGUAAAGCGCGCGCAGGCGGCUUCUUAAGUCUGAUGUGAAAUCUUGCGGCUCAACCGCAAGCGGUCAUUGGAAACUGGGAGGCUUGAGUGCAGAAGAGGAGAGUGGAAUUCCACGUGUAGCGGUGAAAUGCGUAGAGAUGUGGAGGAACACCAGUGGCGAAGGCGGCUCUCUGGUCUGUAACUGACGCUGAGGCGCGAAAGCGUGGGGAGCAAACAGGAUUAGAUACCCUGGUAGUCCACGCCGUAAACGAUGAGUGCUAAGUGUUAGAGGGUUUCCGCCCUUUAGUGCUGCAGCUAACGCAUUAAGCACUCCGCCUGGGGAGUACGGCCGCAAGGCUGAAACUCAAAGGAAUUGACGGGGGCCCGCACAAGCGGUGGAGCAUGUGGUUUAAUUCGAAGCAACGCGAAGAACCUUACCAGGUCUUGACAUCCUCUGACCUCCCUGGAGACAGGGCCUUCCCCUUCGGGGGACAGAGUGACAGGUGGUGCAUGGUUGUCGUCAGCUCGUGUCGUGAGAUGUUGGGUUAAGUCCCGCAACGAGCGCAACCCUUGACCUUAGUUGCCAGCAUUGAGUUGGGCACUCUAAGGUGACUGCCGGUGACAAACCGGAGGAAGGUGGGGAUGACGUCAAAUCAUCAUGCCCCUUAUGACCUGGGCUACAC
rnacentral:rRNA from 2 species